UGGCUCAGGACCGAACGCUGGCGGCAGGCCUAACACAUGCAAGUCGAACGGUAACAGGAAGCAGCUUGCUUCUUUGCUGACGAGUGGCGGACGGGUGAGUAAUGUCUGGGAAACUGCCUGAUGGAGGGGGAUAACUACUGGAAACGGUAGCUAAUACCGCAUAACGUCGCAAGACCAAAGAGGGGGACCUUCGGGCCUCUUGCCAUCGGAUGUGCCCAGAUGGGAUUAGCUAGUAGGUGGGGUAACGGCUCACCUAGGCGACGAUCCCUAGCUGGUCUGAGAGGAUGACCAGCCACACUGAACUGAGACACGUCC
rnacentral:rRNA from 1 species